UAGGGAAUCUUCGGCAAUGAGGGCAACCCUGACCGAGCAACGCCGCGUGAGUGAAGAAGGUUUUCGGAUCGUAAAGCUCUGUUGUAAGAGAAGAACGAGUGUGAGAGUGGAAAGUUCACACUGUGACGGUAACUUACCAGAAAGGGACGGCUAACUACGUGCCAGCAGCCGCGGUAAUACGUAGGUCCCGAGCGUUAUCCGGAUUUAUUGGGCGUAAAGCGAGCGCAGGCGGUUAGAUAAGUCUGAAGUUAAAGGCUGUGGCUUAACCAUAGUACGCUUUGGAAACUGUUUAACUUGAGUGCAGAAGGGGAGAGUGGAAUUCCAUGUGUAGCGGUGAAAUGCGUAGGUAUAUGGAGGAACACCGGUGGCGAAAGCGGCUCUCUGGUCUGUAACUGACGCUGAGGCUCGAAAGCGUGGGGAGCAAACAGGAUUAGAUACCCUGGUAGUCCACGCCGUAAACGAUGAGUGCUAGGUGUUGGGUCCUUUCCGGGACUCAGUGCCGCAGCUAACGCAUUAAGCACUCCGCCUGGGGAGUACGACCGCAAGGUUG
rnacentral:rRNA from 1 species